rnacentral:rRNA from 1 species
UUCGGACCUCCGAUCAAGCAAGAGGACCGCUGAAUUUAAGCAUAUACUAAGCGGAGGAAAAGAAACUAACCAGGAUCCCCCAGUACGGCGAGUGAAGCUCGGCGGGAAGAGCUCACGUUGUAAAUCUGACUUCGGUCCGAAUUGUAGUCUGGAGAGGCGUGACCAGCUGGAGUCGGGGGCGAAGUCUCUUGGAAAAGAGCAUCAAGGAGGGUGACAUCCGUUCUUGCCUCCGCGCUCCACGCGUACGGUCCGUUUUCUACGAGUCGAGUUGCUUGGGAUUGCAGCUCAAAGCGGGUGGUAAAUUCCAUCUAAAGCUAAACACGGGUGGGAGACCGAUAGCGAACAAGUACCGUGAGGAAAGAUGCAAAGAACUUUGAAAAGAGAGUUAAAGAGUGCCUGAAAUUGCUGAAAGGGAAGCGAAGGAAACCAGUGUCUGGCGGUCUCGCUUCUCCUUGGCCCCUCGGGGCCUUGGUUUGCGUUUCCGCCGUGGCCAGGGCCGGGUAGCGUUGCGGGAGGCUGCGCUUCGGAAGGUAGCGUCUCGACUCGUCGAGCGUGAAGACCGUGGCGUUUCGUCCGGAUGCUGGCCGGUUCUGACGAAAUGGUUUUCUUUACCCCGUCUUGAAACACGGACCAAGGAGUCUAACAUGCCGCGAGUACAGGUGUUCAAACCCGUGCGCAGUGAAAGUGAAUGCAGGUGGAAGCGUCUCGUGGCACCAUCGACGACCAUGUCUCUUCGGGGGCGAGGUUUGAGUGUGAGCGUGCAUGUUGGACCCGAAAGAUGGUGAACUAUGCCUGAAUAGGCGAAGCCAGGGGAAACUCUGGUGAGGCUCGUACGAUUCUGACGUGCAAAUCGAUCGUGAGAUUUGGUAUAGGGGCGAAAGCUAAUCGAACCAUCUAGUAGCUGGUUCCCUCCGAAAUUUCCCUCAGGAUAGCUGCAACCUGCGUUCAGUUUUAUCAGGUAAAGCGAAUGAUUAGAGGCUGCUGGAAGCAACUUCCUAGCCCUAUUCUCAAACUUUAAAGGUAAGAGACCGGGGUCGCUUAAUUGGACCCUGCGUUGGAAUGAAGGUUGCUAGUGGGCCAGUCCGGGUAAGCUGGACUGGCGAUGCGGGAUGAACCGAACGACUAGUUAAAGCGCCAAACUGCCCGCUCACCUAGAUCCCACAAAAGGUGUUGGUUCAUUAGACAGCAGACGGUGGCCAUGGAAGUCGGAAUCCGCUAAGGAGUGUGUAACAACUCACCUGCCGAAUGAACUAGCCCUGAAAAUGGAUGGGCUGAAGCGAGCGGCUAUACUAGUCCAUUGGGAGAGUGCGUUCCCAAUGGUAGGAGGGCGCGGGGCUCGUAGCGCAUCUUCGGCCGUGAGGCGGAGUGAAACGUGCCCCGGUGCAGAUCUUGGUGGUAGUAGCAAUAUUCAAAUGAGAACUUUGAAGACUGAAGUGGAGAAAGGUUCCAUGUGAACAGCAAUUGACAUGGUUAGUCGAUCCUAAGAGAUAGGAGAAGUCCGUUCGAAGCGACUUCGGGUCGCCACUAUCGAAAGGAAGCGGGUUAAGAUUCCCGCACCGGGACGUGAUACUGAGUGGCGACACAAGCGCAAUCGGAGACGUCGGCUAGAGUCCCGGCGAGAGUUGUCUUUUCUCGUUAACGCCUUUGGUCGACCUGGAAUCGGCUUGUCGGCGAUAGGGUGGACUGGGCGGGAAAGCGGCACUUUUGCCCGUCGGUGCGCUCUAGACGGCCCUUGAAAUCCGAUGACGUGUUUAUUCUCACCCCCGGUGACUCAUAACCGCAUCAGGUCUCCAAGGUGAGCAGCCUCUGGUCGAUAGAGCAAGUAGAUAAGGGAAGUCGGCAAGCAGAUCCGUAACCUCGGGAAAAGGAUUGGCUCUGAGGGUUGGGUACGGGGGUCCUUGGCUUACUCGCGGCGGCUGCCUUGGACUGCUGCCUACGGGCGGCGGACCCUCGGCGGCUGCCACGGCGACGGCCUUGGACGGCCUUUCUUACGAUCGGCCUUUCCCCGUCGUUGAACAACCGGCUCAGACUGGAGCGGACAAGGGGAAUCCGACUGUUUAAUUAAAACAAAGCAUUGCGAGGGCCGGAGACGGUGUUACGCAAUGUGGCAUUUCUGCCCAGUGCUCUGAAUGUCAAAGUGAAGGAAUUCAACCAAGCGCGGGUAAACGGCGGGAGUAACUAUGACUCUCUUAAGGUAGCCAAAUGCCUCGUCAUCUAACUAGUAGCGCAUGAAUGAUUAAUGAGUUCCCACUGUCCCUAUCUACUGUCUAGCGACCACAGCCAAGGACGGGCUUGGAUAAUCAGCGGGGAAAGAAGACCCUGUUGAGCUUGACUCUAGUCCGAUGUUGUGAAAUGACUUAUGAGGUGUAGAUAGGCGGAGCUUGCCGACGAUGAAAUACCGCCACUCGUAAUGUUGUUUUACUUAUUCCGUCAGGUAGAGUUCUAUCGUCGCGGGGCGGUGGAUUCUGGUCUGAAGUCCUUUUAUUAGGCGAUCUCACGCGGGAGACAACAUCAGGUGGGGAGUUUGGCUGGGGCGGCACAUCUGUUAAACGAUAACACAGGUGUCCUAAGGUUAGCUCAAUGAGAACAGAAAUCUCAUGUAGAACAAAAGGUAAAAGCUAACUUGAUUUUGAUUUUCAGUACGAAUACAACUGUGAAAGCAUGGCCUAUCGAUCCUUAGUCUUCGGAUUUAAGCUAGAGGUGUCAGAAAAGUUACCACAGGAUAACUGCUUGUGGCAGCCAAGCGUUCAUAGCGACGUUGCUUUUGAUUCUUCGAUGUCGGCUCUUCCUAUCAUGUGUCGCAGAAGUCACCAAGUGUAGGAUUGUUCACCCACUAACAGGGAACGUGAGCUGGUUAGACCGUCGUGAGACAGUUAGUUUACCCUACUGAUGAGUUGUUGCCACGACGUAAUCUAACUUAGUACGAGAGGAACCGUUAGUUCGAUAAUUGGUUUAUGGGGUUGUCUGAACAGACAGUGCCCCGAAGCUACCAUCCGUCGAUAUGACUGACGCCUCUAAGUCAGAUCCAUGCUGAAAAGUGGCGAUGCACUUGCUCCCGAUGUCACGCGAAUAGCGAUAGCCGAAAGGCCAGCAUCAUAAAAUUCGGUUCAACGCUGAACCACAAUUUCUACCGUUGGGAGCGGUAAAUCCUUGUAGACGACUUGAUAAGGAACGGGUAUGUAAGCAUGAGAGUAGGCUUUGUCCUACGAUCUGCUGAGAUUAAGCCUCUUGUUCCGAAGAUUUGU